rnacentral:sRNA from 20 species
GGGUGCGGUUUUCGAGAGAAGCGGGGCGGCUGCCCUCGUCCGCGCGCUCGAACGCUCCUCCGCCGGUCCGGCUUCUCCUUCGUGCGGAGGCCUUUGGAAACAAAGGCGAAAGUCGGCCGAAUGUCCGAGGGUCGCGCGGGGAUAGACUACCCGAGAGGGGAAAACAACCCUGGCUCCGGAGGCGGUGAAAAUAACAGGCGAACCGCGUCCGGGA